UACAGAGGUCCCAAGCGUUGUUCGGAUUCACUGGGCGUAAAGGGUGCGUAGGCGGUCGGGUAAGUCUGAUGUGAAAUCUCACAGCUUAACUGUGAAACUGCAUUGGAUACUAUUCGGCUUGAGAGUUGGAGGGGGGACUGGAAUUCUUGGUGUAGCAGUGAAAUGCGUAGAUAUCGGGAGGAACACCUGCGGCGAAGGCGGCUUCCUGGACUGCAACUGACGCUGAGGCGCGAAAGCUAGGGGAGCAAACAGG
rnacentral:rRNA from 1 species